CUACGGGCGGCAGCAGUGGGGAAUAUUGCACAAUGGGCGCAAGCCUGAUGCAGCCAUGCCGCGUGUAUGAAGAAGGCCUUCGGGUUGUAAAGUACUUUCAGCGGGGAGGAAGGGAGUAAAGUUAAUACCUUUGCUCAUUGACAUUACCCGCAGAAGAAGCACCGGCUAAAUCCGUGCCAGCAGCCGCGGUAAUACGGAGGGUGCAAGCGUUAAUCGGAAUUACUGGGCGUAAAGCGCACGCAGGCGGUUUGUUAAGUCAGAUGUGAAAUCCCCGGGCUCAACCUGGGAACUGCAUCUGAUACUGGCAAGCUUGAGUCUCGUAGAGGGGGGUAGAAUUCCAGGUGUAGCGGUGAAAUGCGUAGAGAUCUGGAGGAAUACCGGUGGCGAAGGCGGCCCCCUGGACGAAGACUGACGCUCAGGUGCGAAAGCGUGGGGAGCAAACAGGAUUAGAUACCCGGGUAGUC
rnacentral:rRNA from 1 species